GCCUGAAUCAGUGUGUGUGUUAGUGGAAGCGUCUGGAAAGGCGCGCGAUACAGGGUGACAGCCCCGUACACAAAAAUGCACAUGCUGUGAGCUCGAUGAGUAGGGCGGGACACGUGGUAUCCUGUCUGAAUAUGGGGGGACCAUCCUCCAAGGCUAAAUACUCCUGACUGACCGAUAGUGAACCAGUACCGUGAGGGAAAGGCGAAAAGAACCCCGGCGAGGGGAGUGAAAAAGAACCUGAAACCGUGUACGUACAAGCAGUGGGAGCACAGAGCAAUCUGUGUGACUGCGUACCUUUUGUAUAAUGGGUCAGCGACUUAUAUUCUGUAGCAAGGUUAACCGAAUAGGGGAGCCGAAGGGAAACCGAGUCUUAACUGGGCGUUAAGUUGCAGGGUAUAGACCCGAAACCCGGUGAUCUAGCCAUGGGCAGGUUGAAGGUUGGGUAACACUAACUGGAGGACCGAACCGACUAAUGUUGAAAAAUUAGCGGAUGACUUGUGGCUGGGGGUGAAAGGCCAAUCAAACCGGGAGAUAGCUGGUUCUCCCCGAAAGCUAUUUAGGUAGCGCCUCGUGAAUUCAUCUCCGGGGGUAGAGCACUGUUUCGGCAAGGGGGUCAUCCCGACUUACCAACCCGAUGCAAACUGCGAAUACCGGAGAAUGUUAUCACGGGAGACACACGGCGGGUGCUAACGUCCGUCGUGAAGAGGGAAACAACCCAGACCGCCAGCUAAGGUCCCAAAGUCAUGGUUAAGUGGGAAACGAUGUGGGAAGGCCCAGACAGCCAGGAUGUUGGCUUAGAAGCAGCCAUCAUUUAAAGAAAGCGUAAUAGCUCACUGGUCGAGUCGGCCUGCGCGGAAGAUGUAACGGGGCUAAACCAUGCACCGAAGCUGCGGCAGCGACACUGUGUGUUGUUGGGUAGGGGAGCGUUCUGUAAGCCUGUGAAGGUGUGCUGUGAGGCAUGCUGGAGGUAUCAGAAGUGCGAAUGCUGACAUAAGUAACGAUAAAGCGGGUGAAAAGCCCGCUCGCCGGAAGACCAAGGGUUCCUGUCCAACGUUAAUCGGGGCAGGGUGAGUCGACCCCUAAGGCGAGGCCGAAAGGCGUAGUCGAUGGGAAACAGGUUAAUAUUCCUGUACUUGGUGUUACUGCGAAGGGGGGACGGAGAAGGCUAUGUUGGCCGGGCGACGGUUGUCCCGGUUUAAGCGUGUAGGCUGGUUUUCCAGGCAAAUCCGGAAAAUCAAGGCUGAGGCGUGAUGACGAGGCACUACGGUGCUGAAGCAACAAAUGCCCUGCUUCCAGGAAAAGCCUCUAAGCAUCAGGUAACAUCAAAUCGUACCCCAAACCGACACAGGUGGUCAGGUAGAGAAUACCAAGGCGCUUGAGAGAACUCGGGUGAAGGAACUAGGCAAAAUGGUGCCGUAACUUCGGGAGAAGGCACGCUGAUAUGUAGGUGAAGUCCCUCGCGGAUGGAGCUGAAAUCAGUCGAAGAUACCAGCUGGCUGCAACUGUUUAUUAAAAACACAGCACUGUGCAAACACGAAAGUGGACGUAUACGGUGUGACGCCUGCCCGGUGCCGGAAGGUUAAUUGAUGGGGUCAGCGCAAGCGAAGCUCUUGAUCGAAGCCCCGGUAAACGGCGGCCGUAACUAUAACGGUCCUAAGGUAGCGAAAUUCCUUGUCGGGUAAGUUCCGACCUGCACGAAUGGCGUAAUGAUGGCCAGGCUGUCUCCACCCGAGACUCAGUGAAAUUGAACUCGCUGUGAAGAUGCAGUGUACCCGCGGCAAGACGGAAAGACCCCGUGAACCUUUACUAUAGCUUGACACUGAACAUUGAGCCUUGAUGUGUAGGAUAGGUGGGAGGCUUUGAAGUGUGGACGCCAGUCUGCAUGGAGCCGACCUUGAAAUACCACCCUUUAAUGUUUGAUGUUCUAACGUGGACCCGUGAUCCGGGUUGCGGACAGUGUCUGGUGGGUAGUUUGACUGGGGCGGUCUCCUCCUAAAGAGUAACGGAGGAGCACGAAGGUUGGCUAAUCCUGGUCGGACAUCAGGAGGUUAGUGCAAUGGCAUAAGCCAGCUUGACUGCGAGCGUGACGGCGCGAGCAGGUGCGAAAGCAGGUCAUAGUGAUCCGGUGGUUCUGAAUGGAAGGGCCAUCGCUCAACGGAUAAAAGGUACUCCGGGGAUAACAGGCUGAUACCGCCCAAGAGUUCAUAUCGACGGCGGUGUUUGGCACCUCGAUGUCGGCUCAUCACAUCCUGGGGCUGAAGUAGGUCCCAAGGGUAUGGCUGUUCGCCAUUUAAAGUGGUACGCGAGCUGGGUUUAGAACGUCGUGAGACAGUUCGGUCCCUAUCUGCCGUGGGCGCUGGAGAACUGAGGGGGGCUGCUCCUAGUACGAGAGGACCGGAGUGGACGCAUCACUGGUGUUCGGGUUGUCAUGCCAAUGGCACUGCCCGGUAGCUAAAUGCGGAAGAGAUAAGUGCUGAAAGCAUCUAAGCACGAAACUUGCCCCGAGAUGAGUUCU
rnacentral:rRNA from 1 species